AAAAUGGCUUUUUUUUUUGGCUGACAUUUUGCACCUAAAGCCACUAAAGUUUUACAACAAAUUGCCUU
rfam:Stegodyphus mimosarum contig60536, whole genome shotgun sequence.